rnacentral:rRNA from 1 species
UCAAGUCAGCAUGGCCUUUAUAUCCUGGGCUACACACACGCUACAAUGGCCAACACAAUAGGUUGCUAAGCCGCGAGGUGGCGCCAAUCCAUAAAGUUGGUCUCAGUUCAGAUUGUAGGCUGCAACCCGCCUGCAUGAAGAUGGAGUUGCUAGUAACCGCAGGUCAGCUAUACUGCGGUGAAUACGUUCCCGGGGCUU